rnacentral:lncRNA from 10 species
AAACCUGACCAUCAAGGUAAUCAAGGACAAGGAAAGUCUAAGAAACUGUCAGAGAUCAUAGAAGGCUAAGAAGACAUGAUAACUAAAUGUAAAGUGGUGUUCUGGAUGUGGUCCAGGAAUGGAGAAAGGACAUUUGGGGGAAACUGAUGAAAUCAGAGUAUAGUAUUGAACUUAAUUAAGAAUAAUGUACCUACACUCAUUUCUUACUUGUGACAAAUGUAUCAUGGUGAUAUAGAAUGAUUACAAUAGGAGAAACUGGAUGAGAGAUAUAAGGGAAUGCUCGGUACCACUGUUAUAACUUCUA